GGUGACAGCCCCGUACACAAAAAUGCACAUGCUGUGAGCUCGAUGAGUAGGGCGGGACACGUGGUAUCCUGUCUGAAUAUGGGGGGACCAUCCUCCAAGGCUAAAUACUCCUGACUGACCGAUAGUGAACCAGUACCGUGAGGGAAAGGCGAAAAGAACCCCGGCGAGGGGAGUGAAAAAGAACCUGAAACCGUGUACGUACAAGCAGUGGGAGCACGCUUAGGCGUGUGACUGCGUACCUUUUGUAUAAUGGGUCAGCGACUUAUAUUCUGUAGCAAGGUUAACCGAAUAGGGGAGCCGAAGGGAAACCGAGUCUUAACUGGGCGUUAAGUUGCAGGGUAUAGACCCGAAACCCGGUGAUCUAGCCAUGGGCAGGUUGAAGGUUGGGUAACACUAACUGGAGGACCGAACCGACUAAUGUUGAAAAAUUAGCGGAUGACUUGUGGCUGGGGGUGAAAGGCCAAUCAAACCGGGAGAUAGCUGGUUCUCCCCGAAAGCUAUUUAGGUAGCGCCUCGUGAAUUCAUCUCCGGGGGUAGAGCACUGUUUCGGCAAGGGGGUCAUCCCGACUUACCAACCCGAUGCAAACUGCGAAUACCGGAGAAUGUUAUCACGGGAGACACACGGCGGGUGCUAACGUCCGUCGUGAAGAGGGAAACAACCCAGACCGCCAGCUAAGGUCCCAAAGUCAUGGUUAAGUGGGAAACGAUGUGGGAAGGCCCAGACAGCCAGGAUGUUGGCUUAGAAGCAGCCAUCAUUUAAAGAAAGCGUAAUAGCUCACUGGUCGAGUCGGCCUGCGCGGAAGAUGUAACGGGGCUAAACCAUGCACCGAAGCUGCGGCAGCGACGCUUAUGCGUUGUUGGGUAGGGGAGCGUUCUGUAAGCCUGCGAAGGUGUGCUGUGAGGCAUGCUGGAGGUAUCAGAAGUGCGAAUGCUGACAUAAGUAACGAUAAAGCGGGUGAAAAGCCCGCUCGCCGGAAGACCAAGGGUUCCUGUCCAACGUUAAUCGGGGCAGGGUGAGUCGACCCCUAAGGCGAGGCCGAAAGGCGUAGUCGAUGGGAAACAGGUUAAUAUUCCUGUACUUGGUGUUACUGCGAAGGGGGGACGGAGAAGGCUAUGUUGGCCGGGCGACGGUUGUCCCGGUUUAAGCGUGUAGGCUGGUUUUCCAGGCAAAUCCGGAAAAUCAAGGCUGAGGCGUGAUGACGAGGCACUACGGUGCUGAAGCAACAAAUGCCCUGCUUCCAGGAAAAGCCUCUAAGCAUCAGGUAACAUCAAAUCGUACCCCAAACCGACACAGGUGGUCAGGUAGAGAAUACCAAGGCGCUUGAGAGAACUCGGGUGAAGGAACUAGGCAAAAUGGUGCCGUAACUUCGGGAGAAGGCACGCUGAUAUGUAGGUGAAGUCCCUCGCGGAUGGAGCUGAAAUCAGUCGAAGAUACCAGCUGGCUGCAACUGUUUAUUAAAAACACAGCACUGUGCAAACACGAAAGUGGACGUAUACGGUGUGACGCCUGCCCGGUGCCGGAAGGUUAAUUGAUGGGGUCAGCGCAAGCGAAGCUCUUGAUCGAAGCCCCGGUAAACGGCGGCCGUAACUAUAACGGUCCUAAGGUAGCGAAAUUCCUUGUCGGGUAAGUUCCGACCUGCACGAAUGGCGUAAUGAUGGCCAGGCUGUCUCCACCCGAGACUCAGUGAAAUUGAACUCGCUGUGAAGAUGCAGUGUACCCGCGGCAAGACGGAAAGACCCCGUGAACCUUUACUAUAGCUUGACACUGAACAUUGAGCCUUGAUG
rnacentral:rRNA from 1 species